UCGAUACUGGGCAACCACAAAGAAACUUCCACUCACUGCAUCCCGUUACCGGCAAGCAACUGCUGGCCGCCCAGAUGGCGUGUAGGAGACAAGCCCUCCGGCGCCCACCUCCUCGCUCUGAGUCCUGGGUUUCAGAGACGCGCACUCCCCCAUAGGAGCAGGCCCCGCUCUGCGCAGCGGGAAACGAGGCCUCCGCGUGCUUGCUUCAGGGCUGGUUUUGCGGACCUUCUACAGCCCCCGGGCCGGAUGUUCCCCACCCCUGCAUUAGAGAACGGGAGAAGGAAGCUCAGCCCAGAUGCUCCUCAGAAGCCAGUGUAACCAUAGGACUGACCCUCCCACCUCAGGCAACGAGAAACCUGCACAGACGAGAUGAAAUGGUGGUUUCCGCCCUGGCCGGUGGCUCAGUGGUUAGAGCAUGCAGCGGGCAACUGAUUGAUCAUCUUUCUUUCAUUGAUAUUUCUGUCUCUCUAACCCUCUCCCUUUUCUCUAAAAAUCAAUUUUUAAA